rnacentral:rRNA from 1 species
AACGCUAGCUACAGGCUUAACACAUGCAAGUCGCGGGGCAGCAUGAUUGAAGCUUGCUUCAAUUGAUGGCGACCGGCGCACGGGUGAGUAACACGUAUCCAACCUUCCGUACACUCAGGGAUAGCCUUUCGAAAGAAAGAUUAAUACCUGAUGGUAUCUUAAGCACACAUGUAAUUAAGAUUAAAGAUUUAUCGGUGUACGAUGGGGAUGCGUUCCAUUAGGUAGUAGGCGGGGUAACGGCCCACCUAGCCUACGAUGGAUAGGGGUUCUGAGAGGAAGGUCCCCCACAUUGGAACUGAGACACGGUCCAAACUCCUACGGGAGGCAGCAGUGAGGAAUAUUGGUCAAUGGACGAGAGUCUGAACCAGCCAAGUAGCGUGAAGGAUGAAGGUCCUACGGAUUGUAAACUUCUUUUAUAAGGGAAUAAAACCUCCCACGUGUGGGAGCUUGUAUGUACCUUAUGAAUAAGCAUCGGCUAACUCCGUGCCAGCAGCCGCGGUAAUACGGAGGAUGCGAGCGUUAUCCGGAUUUAUUGGGUUUAAAGGGAGCGCAGACGGGAGAUUAAGUCAGUUGUGAAAGUUUGCGGCUCAACCGUAAAAUUGCAGUUGAUACUGGUUUCCUUGAGUGCAGUUGAGGCAGGCGGAAUUCGUGGUGUAGCGGUGAAAUGCUUAGAUAUCACGAAGAACUCCGAUUG